GAGGGGACACACCCGUUCCCAUGCCGAACACGGCCGUUAAGCCCUC
rnacentral:rRNA from 1 species